rnacentral:rRNA from 1 species
CCCUGCCAUUUGUACACACCGCCCGUCGCUACUACCGAUUGAAUGGCUUAGUGAGCUCUCUGGACUGUUGCGUGCUAGGGGCAACCCUGACACGCAAACGGGAAGGAGAUCAAACUUGAUCAUUUAGAGGAAGUAAAAGUCGUAACAAGG